ensembl:ncRNA lncRNA:CR43306 long non-coding RNA:CR43306
AAGUUUCAUUCAGUGAAGGUUAUAUAAAAAAAUGCAGUGUGAAUUUACGGUGAAAAAUUGCAGUUCUCACAGCGAGAAAACGCAUAAGUAAACAUAGAGUGCAGGACCAACCCUCUGGACCGAUAAAUGCCCAUCAAUGAGCCAAGAGUAAAUACCCAACCGAAGACACGGGCCCAGCAGUUGGUGUGUGUAAUUUGUCGUCAUUCGCAACGCCCAGCGAUAUUUCCCUGAUGUUUGCCACUUAGCAAAGGGUUCAGUAUCCAUUGCUAAUGUUUCGAGUAUGAAUUCAAGCGAAUUUAUGUAGUGGAAGUGCUUUAAGAGAGUUUCACCAGAUGAUAACCGUGGGAAAUGGGGAUUAUAGCAUUGACAUCUGAUUUGGAGAUUUCAAGGGGCCUAAUCAAAAAUGCUAUUAAAAUAAGCUCUGGAACACUUCGCUGAACCCUCCGCUUCGGUAGGCACAUACAUCGUUUUCAAAGAAGAAGCCUCUGAGGACUGCGAACCCUCCUUCUGGCUCCUUCUGGCUGCUCAGAAUCCUCCUUCAUCAAGAUCUCGUUGUUUCCAGUAGCAAACCCAAUACGCGUUCGUCUUUUCUGCCAUUUCUGAAUUCAGUUGAGCUAUGGA